GUUUUUCAGAAACUAAAAGCACCUGCCAAACUUCUUCAAAGCAUUUUGGCUUUAUAAUGGAAAGGAAGGAACUGCCACUCCCAAUUUCAAGUUGCCAAUUUUGCCCCUUCGUGUUAUUGGGGAUGUUUGUUUCUUGGACCUCGAUGAUCGACGGUUAUUCCGCGCAUAAUUGUUGCAAUGAGGCCUUGAAGCUUUUUUUAUCACAUUUUGAGCGAUAUCGAGCUCGAAGUUACCAUGAUUUCGGUGCUUCAAGCUUGCUCUCCUAAAGGGGACUUGAGUAUGGGAAAGUGUUACCGCCUCCGAUGCAUCCCUUCAUACUCAAGACUGGACAUUCUAAAGCUCAGAACUAGACAUUCAAGUGUUACUGAACAUCUGUGGGUGGUCCACCAUCAAUGGCCUUAACAUACCUCCUUCUCAUCUUCUGUAUCCACCCAUAUCAUGGUUCAUGAGCAAUUCCCACCCUACAACCAUGCAUUGCAUCACUCGUUUUUUAGGCCACCAUCAAUAGCGUUAUGAGGCUAAACAUAAUUUGAGGUACGCAGAGGUAAACUUUAUGAACCUUAUAGCAUGUUUUCAUUACUGUUAACAAAAUGACAGGCAGAAAUCAAUCAAAGAGCUAGUUGACAUGAUUCCAUCUGUGCUUUCAAAUGAAAUGAGAAACAAAAGAAUGCGAAAAAGAGGAAAUAAGGAACUCAAGGACCACGAGCAGGGGCAAAACAGAAACAGCCAGGUGCCUGGUCAUCAGGAAUCAUCCCUCCUCCUUUGCUUGUAUCAAUGGCUUCUAACAUUCUCACCACCACAGCCAUUUCAGGACGUUUUUCUGCAUUUGCAUCCCAGCACUUUCGCAUGAUAGUGGCUAAAGAACUUGGACAGCAUCUUGGGAUCUCUGGUCGUAGAUUCUGCCAACAAAAUUUUGCACUAUUAAACUCACAACAAAAUUUUGUGGAUCCUUUUGUGGUAUACAUCAAAUCUGUACAAUGUACUACAUUCAGGUAGUUAAAUAGCAGAGACUAGGCAAGUGCAAAUGCGUGUUUAUAGGAUUGUGAACUAACCUGUCCGACAACGGCAGAUGACACAUCAGCAAAGCUAAGAUCAGGGUAAGGCAUAUCACAACAAUAAAUUUCCCACAAGCAUAUGCCAAAGCUGUAGACAUCACAGCUUCUAUUAUAUGGUUUGCCAUCAAGAACCUACAUAAUGUAUCUUGUUAGAAAGCGUUCAACUACAGGCCCAAAAUGUAAAUUCAACUGCAUUUUCAUUUUUCUGUCUGCUAGUUUACCAAUUACUGUAAGGUACAUGCAACCACAGAGACCCACAUAGAAAAUGUGCAAUAUAAGGCUAACUCUCACAUCAUAUUGGAAUA